rnacentral:rRNA from 1 species
UACAGAGGUCUCGAGCGUUAGGCGGAAUCACUGGGCUUAAAGCGUGUGUAGGCGGAUCGGUAAGUACCUUGUGAAAUCCCACAGCUUAACUGUGGAACUGCUUGGUAUACUGCCAGUCUUGAGCCAGCUAGGGGCUACCGGAACAAAUGGUGGAGCGGUGAAAUGCGUAGAUAUGACUCAGAAGGCCAAAGGCGAAGGCAGGUUACUGGUACGCAACUGACGCUGGGGCACGAAAGCGUGGGGAGCAAACAGG